UGAAGUUAGGCUCGCAUACCUGCUGAAUUUAAGCAUAUAAGUAAGCGGCGGACAAUAAACUAAACAGGACCCCCAUAGUAAUGGCGAAUGAGCAGGGAUGAGCUCAGCGUGGAAAUUGGGGCCUGAGGCCCUGACUUGUAGGCUGGUGAGGUGUUGCCAACAGAGGCGCAGAUGUAAGUCUUUUUGGAAAAGAGCAUCAAUGAGGGUGAGAAUCCUGCUUGCCAUUUGCAGACCCCUGUGCACGGUGUGCCCACAUCGAGUCACGUUCCUUGGGAUUGGAGCGCAAAGUGGGUGGUAACUUUCAUCUGAAGCUAAAUAUUGGUUGAAGACCGAUAGGAAACAAGUACCAUGAGGGAAAGAUGAAAAGGACUUUGGAAAGAGAGUUAAAAGUGCCUGAAAUUGCUGAAAGGGAAGCGAAUGGAGCCAGUGUGCCCGGGCGAGAUUGUCAUAUGUGAUAAUGAUCGGUUGCUGCUUCAUCGUAAGUGUUCUUGCAAUCAUUGAUCUAUGAGUGUGUGGUGUGUCUUGCCUUGAAUGUCAUCGCGGGCUUCUGUAUUACGACAAUUCAAAGUUCAGGGUAUUAUGUUUGUGAAGGUAUGAAUGUUCUUUGCUAUGCUUGUGCGCAAGCUUCUCUUGACUGUGUGUUUGCUGUGUGGCGCCCCAACACAGCGGGGCCACACACCAUUUCUACACAGCUGAUGACUAAAUGAUUCUAUUCGACCCGUCUUGAAACACGGACCAAGGAGUCUAGCAUGUGUGCAAGUUCAUGGGUUGCAUGCCUGUGUGCACAAUGAAAGUGACUGCUGGGAUCUUUGCGCCAGCAACCGACCAAUCAACCGAGAGAGGUUUGAGUAUGAGCAGUUCUGUUAGCACCCGAAAGAUGGUGAACUAUGCCUGAGAAGGGCAAACUCAGGGGAAACUCUGAUGGAGGCUCGUAGCGGUACUGACGUGCAAAUCGUUCGUCGCACUUGGGUAUAGGGGCGAAAGACUAAUCGAACCAUCUAGUAGCUGGUUCCCUCUGAAGUUUCCCUCAGGAUAGCUGGAGUUGAACAGUUUUAUCAGGUAAAGCGAAUGAUUAGAGGAAUCGGGGGCGCGCCGUUCUCGACCUAUUCUCAAACUUUUAAUGGGUAAGAUCCAGUGGUUGCUUGGUUGAACUUCUGGGGCACAUGUUGAUUCCAAGUGGGCCAUUUUUGGUAAGCAGAACUGGCGAUGAGGGAUGAACCUAACGUUGUGCUAAUGUGCUUA
rnacentral:rRNA from 1 species